rnacentral:lncRNA from 1 species
GGGUUCAGAGUUCGACAUGACUUUGGACAGGACUGGUACGAAAGGCACCAAGUGCUAGGCGGAUACCUAAGUGAUAGACAGGAUCGAGUAGCUUAAGGGUUGUCUUUGAAGCUGACUGGUAAACGAUACAUCCAUAGUCUAUGCGAGACAACACAAGGCUUUUAAAAAGAGAUAGGAGACAAUACCUAUCUGUUCCCCACGAUUGGUGAGAUAAAAUCUUUAAAAUGUUCAUAGUUUUAGGGCAUUUCAGCUUCAACUGUUUUAUAUG